GACGAACGCUGGCGGCGUGCUUAACACAUGCCAGUCGAACGGAAAGGCCCUGCUUUUGUGGGGUGCUCGAGUGGCGAACGGGUGAGUAACACGUGAGUAACCUGCCCUUGACUUUGGGAUAACUUCAGGAAACUGGGGCUAAUACCGGAUAGGAGCUCCUGCUGCAUGGUGGGGGUUGGAAAGUUUCGGCGGUUGGGGAUGGACUCGCGGCUUAUCAGCUUGUUGGUGGGGUAGUGGCUUACCAAGGCUUUGACGGGUAGCCGGCCUGAGAGGGUGACCGGCCACAUUGGGACUGAGAUACGGCCCAGACUCCUACGGGAGGCAGCAGUGGGGAAUACUGCACAAUGGGCGGAAGCCUGAUGCAGCAACGCCGCGUGCGGGAUGACGGCCUUCGGGUUGUAAGCCGCUUUCGCCUGUGACGAAGCGUGAGUGACGGUAAUGGGUAAAGAAGCACCGGCUAACUACGUG
rnacentral:rRNA from 1 species